rnacentral:rRNA from 1 species
GUGUCAGCAGCCGCGGUAAUACGAAGGGGGCGAGCGUUGUUCGGAUUUACUGGGCGUAAAGGGCGCGUAGGCGGCGCGAGAAGUCGAGUGUGAAAGCCCCGGGCUCAACCUGGGAAUUGCGCUCGAUACUCUUGUGCUUGAGUUCGGGAGAGGAGCGUGGAAUUCCCAGUGUAGAGGUGAAAUUCGUAGAUAUUGGGAAGAACACCGGUGGCGAAGGCGGCGCUCUGGACCGAGACUGACGCUGAGGCGCGAAAGCGUGGGGAGCAAACAGGAUUAGAAACCCUCGUAGUCC